rnacentral:lncRNA from 1 species
UUUCCUGCUUGCUUGCUUUUCUUGGGAGAUUCCUGGCAGUCUCUGAAAUUCGCCCUUUGGCUGAUAAGUAAUAUAAUUAGCUUCAUAGCUUUUGGGCAUAAGACUUGGGUUCAAAUGACUCUGAUGCUUCUUACCUGUGAGACUUUGGGCCUGGGGCUAAGCUCUCUGCCUCAGUUUCCUUUUCUGUAAAAUGGAAGGAUGGUACUAGACAAUCUCCAAGAGCCCAUCUGGCUGUAAAUUCUACUAUCCUCUCUAUAGGCAGCCACAAGUGGGAUGGAAAAGCCCUGAGACAAGAUGACACGUGCCAGCGGGAGGCUGGAAACCAAAUCAAACAAGUUUCAAUGGAGGCAGCUUGAGCAGAAUUGAAGCUGCUGUGAUCUUGACCCUGUUUUCUGCCUGCUUCUCUCUCUUCUCCCCCAGAACCUUGGGCGUAAGAGGACGACGCAGGCUCAUAUGCACUUCAGUAACACCAAUUUCAAUAGCUGGGCAUGUGACUACGUACCCAGCCCCAGCGACUGCAUAAGCACUUACACAGAGUCGUACGUGGCCAAGCCCACCCCGCCAGCCUCGUGCUUUGGGCACUACCCGAGACAUCACUCUGAACGGUGGAAGACUUAUUCGACUUAAGGACGGACGCACCGCACGGAGACAACUUGAAGGAAAGGAUGCUGUGAAGCCUUGCGGAUUCCCCUUCAAAGCGCCAACCUCGGGAGGUUUUCUUGCCCUUUUAUGUAAGGAAGGGGACAAUAAAAGAGGAUCCUUUGAAUUUAGCACGUUUGCAAACAAGUAGGACUAGAAGGUGACCCCUCAGGAGCCUCAGUUUCCCAGUAAUCAUUUUGAUCUGUGGAGUCUGCUGUCCCCUCAGAUCUGGAGGGGAACCUGAAUUCUGGGAUCUUUUGGUUUGCGCCUCAGUGUACGUACGAGCAACAUGGAAGCCCUCGAAGGGAGAAUUUUUCUUUAGAAAGGCACUAUUUCACACGGCUUGUCGGCAUGUAUUGUACAGUGGAAUUCUUAGUUCAAUAAAGAAAAGCUUGCUUAUCAAAAUGGACUCCCACAUGGUGAAAGUUACCAGCCUUAAAGAUCCAGAGCCCCCUCGUCUCUACAAGAAGAUCACAAGCAUUCAAACUCGCGCCUGCUUGGGAGGACACAUGGGUUUCCCACUCUUGACAGAGAGUGAGGCCAAGUCUCUCCUC